UACGUAGGGGGCAAGCGUUGUCCGGAUUUAUUGGGCGUAAAGAGCGUGUAGGCGGCCAGGUAGGUCCGUUGUGAAAACUAGAGGCUUAACCUCUAGACGUCGAUGGAAACCAUCUGGCUAGAGUCCGGAAGAGGAGAGUGGAAUUCCUGGUGUAGCGGUGAAAUGCGCAGAUAUCAGGAAGAACACCCGUGGCGAAGGCGGCUCUCUGGGACGGUACUGACGCUGAGACGCGAAGCGUGGGGAGCGAACAGG
rnacentral:rRNA from 1 species